AGGCGGCGUGGUUAACACAUGCAAGUCGUGCGAGAAAGGGGGCUUCGGUCACUGAGUAGAGCGGCGCACGGGUGAGUAACGCGUGGGUGAUCUACCCGGAAGUCUGGGAUAACGGUGGGAAACUGCCGCUAAUACCGGUUACGCUUCCAAUUCAGAAUUGGAGGGAAAGACGGCCUCUGCUUGCAAGCUGUCGCUUUCGGAUGAGCCCGCGUCCCAUUAGCUAGUUGGCGGGGUAACGGCCCACCAAGGCAACGAUGGGUAGCUGGUCUGAGAGGAUGAUCAGCCACACUGGGACUGAAACACGGCCCAGACUCCUACGGGAGGCAGCAGUGGGGAAUAUUGCGCAAUGGGGGAAACCCUGACGCAGCGACGCCGUGUGAGGGAAGAAGGCCUUCGGGUCGUAAACCUCUGUCGGGAGGGAAGAACCGCCAGGUUUCGAACAGAGACCUGGCCUGACGGUACCUCUAGAGGAAGCGCCGGCUAACUCCGUGCCAGCAGCCGCGGUAAUACGGAGGGCGCAAGCGUUAAUCGGAAUCACUGGGCGUAAAGCCCACGUAGGCGGCGAGAUAAUUCGGGCGUGAAAGCCCUCGGCUCAACCGA
rnacentral:rRNA from 1 species